AUGAGGGCCGAGGGCCGAGGGGCCGGGCUGUGGCCAGAGACCAGCGCCGGGUGAAGCGCCGGUCUCUCCGACUUCCUGAUACAUGUGGGCCCAGCCUCAACGUUUUUAGAAGGCCACUGGCCCACCUUACCCCACUCCCCGCCUCUGGUGGAGGUCCGCCCGUGUGUGUCUGGGGCUAGGGGGCGACCACUGGACCCCAACAGCCGCAAGGGGGCGCUCACCCAGAACAAAGGAUAUAGGGAUGAGCUGAAUGUAGCUGUCGCAGUACAGAGCCAGCUUCUCAAACAACAGCUGCUGUUCAUUCGAGAGAGCCAUUCUGGGAGUGGGAUGCAGGACACCAUGAAUGAACCCUAGUGAAAACUAUGGACUUCUAGCAACACAAGGCCUGGAGACCCUGCCUCCGUGAGCUCUAGACCCCACCCCCAGAUGCUCCGCCCCUUCUUCCUGAACCUCUUACCUAUAGACUCCACGGAUGGCGUAGUAGAGGAACAUGAAGAUGAGGAAUUCCCCACACAGCAGCUUGUAGAUGCUGCCACGCCAACACAGGAGCAGGCAGGAGAAGGAACCGAGACGGGCAUUAGCUACUUUGUUUGUAACAUCUCCUAGGAAAAAUGUCCCCAGCCAUCCUACUGGAAAUAAUGCCUCGGUUGUCACCAGUGGUGCCUUCCCAGUGUGCUCGAUCCUUCUACAUGGUGUAUGUCGUCGCUACUUGAAGUCAUGUGACACAAGAUACUCCUGCCUGCUGUUCGUUCUCUUCUCCCACUGGAAACUCUUAGUGUGUUCUUGGAGCAGAUGCUCAGUACAAACUGAUUAAAACCAUGACUGACUACCCCCUUUCCACCAUCCAGAGUCCACCUCCCCCCACAUGUGCUGCCAAUAUGUGCCCAUCACACCCCCGAAUACACAAGAGCAGUCAUCCACCCCUAAAGGCCCGCAAAGCCCUGGCGCUGUCCACCUGGGGCAACCCCUACUCACAGGUAGGGUUCCGGCAGUUCAGGCAACCUCAUAAAAGUUCUGGCCACUGGGUUGCUGGGACUCUCUGAGACCCUGGGGCGGGUACCCCUGUCCAUACUUGGAGGCUGGCACUGCCCACCUACGUAUGUGCUGAGUUGUCACCUGACUUUCUAAGCCAAAGCUUCCACAAAGGAGUCCUUGUCUCGGCCCCUCUUGUAAUCUGCUCAAGAGCAGCAACCAGCACCGCCCGGGCAAUGUUCCUCUAAUUCCUUCCUGGGGGUGGUGAGCUAAGAACAGGACUGGAACUGGGGUUCACACCCCCUCUUCCAUGGCUCUAAACUUUGGAAUAGAGAAAUUUGUGCCACCACCACUUUGUCCCCACUCCUGAGGUCUUUCAGAGAAAGUUGGGGGCAGGAUUGAGCCUCAUCUAAGGUACCAGGACCCCAGGAAAAUUAGUCUUGUCCAGGCCUCUGGGAGCCCCUCCAGAAAGAACGAUAGCCCACUGCUAUACGUCACUGGCUUCUAGUGACCUGUGUGCUAGCCCUCACUGGGCCUCAGCAUCCUUGUCUCAAAAGGUUAUGUUGCUUUGGAAUUUCAUCAGCAUAGUAAGUAACAGCAAUCUGCAUAUACUGGUGAGAAGCCCUGAUUGGCUGCUGGUGACAUCAUAGGUUGUGGUGGCUGUGAUUGGUUGGCAGGGCCUACUAGUAGGUACCUCAGGUAGAGAAAGAGAAGAGGACAGGAAGGCCAGGUGUGGCGACCGACCGGGCUUAGUGGGAGAAAACUAAAGGCCUGCUGUUCCAGCCAUCUAAUCCCAGACAGCCUGAGAGAGAGAAAGGCAAACACCCGUGCCCCCAGGGGCAGCUGGGUGGCAUCUCAACAGCCGGGCCGACCUUAGCACACCAGUCUUUUCUGAAGGCUCUCCUGAGCACCUGGAUAAGAUACACGAAGAGCACAGACUCCAGGGAGCACUGGUUCUCAGUCUUCACUGAGUGAGACAGUUGCCAAGACAUUUACCAAACACGCAGCUUCUCCGCAUCUCUCUCGGGAGUCUGGUGCUGCGUCCUUGGAGACGUUGCGUUUUUAUCAAGUACUGCAGGAGCCUGUGAGAUUUGGGUGGUCUUGGGAACCACACUUCCGGAAGCCCCGAUUUACAGUUUGACCCUGAGCCUUAGAAUGAAGCCAGCCUCCUGCUCCCUGCCUGGGCCUCCCUCCUCCCGCCUCUUCACUCCCUAAGGAGGCUGAGCCGCAGGUGAUUCUGGACUCGGUGUAAGUCCAGAAAGGGGGGAAUAGCUUUUUUACCAUGACCUUGACUGCUUUUCUAAUCACAGUGAACAAUAAAGCUGGUGUUAUC